rnacentral:rRNA from 1 species
GACGAACGCUGGCGGCGUGCUUAACACAUGCAAGUCGAACGAAGUGGCGAAAGGGUGAGAAAUACGUGGGUAACCUGCACUCCUUUUUGGGAUAAGCAUUGGAAACGGGGUCUAAUACCGAAUAAAGGGGGAUGGGCUCGGGGCCUAUCAGCUUGUUGGUGGGGUGGUGGCCUACCAAGGAGGUGACGGGUAGCCGGCCUGAGAGGGUGACCGGCCACAUUGGGCCUGAGCGACGGCCCAGACUCCUACGGGAGGCAGCAGUGGGGGAUAUUGCACAAUGUGCGAAAGCCUGAUGCAGCGACGCCGCGUGGGGGAUGAAGGCUUUCGGGUUGUAAACCUCUUUCGCUCUCGAACGGGUAGGUGGAGAAGAAGCGCCGGCUAACUACGUGCCAGCAGCCGCGGUAAUUC